rnacentral:rRNA from 1 species
UACAGAGGUCCCAAGCGUUACUGAGAAUCACUGGGUUUAAAGGGUGCGUAGGUGGUCCGUUAAGUCAGUUGUGAAAUCCCCGGGCUCAACCUGGGAACUGCAUUUGUGACUGCAUGGCUAGAGUACGGUAGAGGGGGAUGGAAUUCCGCGUGUAGCAGUGAAAUGCGUAGAUAUGCGGAGGAACACCGAUGGCGAAGGCAGCCCCCUGGGCUAACACUGACGCUCAUGCACGAAAGCGUGGGGAGCAAACAGG